rnacentral:rRNA from 1 species
CGAUAGUGAACCAGUACCGUGAGGGAAAGGCGAAAAGAACCCCGGCGAGGGGAGUGAAAAAGAACCUGAAACCGUGUACGUACAAGCAGUGGGAGCACCCUUUGGGUGUGACUGCGUACCUUUUGUAUAAUGGGUCAGCGACUUAUAUUCUGUAGCAAGGUUAACCGAAUAGGGGAGCCGGAGGGAAACCGAGUCUUAACCGGGCGUUAAGUUGCAGGGUAUAGACCCGAAACCCGGUGAUCUAGCCAUGGGCAGGUUGAAGGUUGGGUAACACUAACUGGAGGACCGAACCGACUAAUGUUGAAAAAUUAGCGGAUGACCUGUGGCUGGGGGUGAAAGGCCAAUCAAACCGGGAGAUAGCUGGUUCUCCCCGAAAGCUAUUUAGGUAGCGCCUCGUGAAUUCAUCUCCGGGGGUAGAGCACUGUUUCGGCUAGGGGGCCAUCCCGGCUUACCAACCCGAUGCAAACUGCGAAUACCGGAGAAUGUUAUCACGGGAGACACACGGCGGGUGCUAACGUCCGUCGUGAAGAGGGAAACAACCCAGACCGCCAGCUAAGGUCCCAAAGUCAUGGUUAAGUGGGAAACGAUGUGGGAAGGCCCAGACAGCCAGGAUGUUGGCUUAGAAGCAGCCAUCAUUUAAAGAAAGCGUAAUAGCUCACUGGUCGAGUCGGCCUGCGCGGAAGAUGUAACGGGGCUAAACCAUGCACCGAAGCUGCGGCAGCGACACUGUGUGUUGUUGGGUAGGGGAGCGUUCUGUAAGCCUGUGAAGGUGUGUCGUGAGGCAUGCUGGAGGUAUCAGAAGUGCGAAUGCUGACAUAAGUAACGAUAAAGCGGGUGAAAAGCCCGCUCGCCGGAAGACCAAGGGUUCCUGUCCAACGUUAAUCGGGGCAGGGUGAGUCGACCCCUAAGGCGAGGCCGAAAGGCGUAGUCGAUGGGAAACGGGUUAAUAUUCCCGUACUUGGUGUUACUGCGAAGGGGGGACGGAGAAGGCUAUGUUGGCCGGGCGACGGUU